UAAUCCUCAGUGCUGAGGGUCGUGGCCUCUA
rnacentral:sRNA from 1 species